rnacentral:rRNA from 1 species
GAUGAACGCUGGCGGCGUGCUUAACACAUGCAAGUCGAACGGUGAACACGGAGCUUGCUCUGUGGGAUCAGUGGCGAACGGGUGAGUAACACGUGAGCAACCUGCCCCUGACUCUGGGAUAAGCGCAGGAAACGGCGUCUAAUACUGGAUAUGUGACGUGACCGCAUGGUCUGCGUUUGGAAAGAUUUUUCGGUUGGGGAUGGGCUCGCGGCCUAUCAGCUUGUUGGUGAGGUAAUGGCUCACCAAGGCGUCGACGGGUAGCCGGCCUGAGAGGGUGACCGGCCACACUGGGACUGAGACACGGCCCAGACUCCUACGGGAGGCAGCAGUGGGGAAUAUUGCACAAUGGGCGCAAGCCUGAUGCAGCAACGCCGCGUGAGGGAUGACGGCCUUCGGGUUGUAAACCUCUUUUAGCAGGGAAGAAGCGAAAGUGACGGUACCUGCAGAAAAAGCGCCGGCUAACUACGUG